rnacentral:misc_RNA from 1 species
CUGAGUUUACGCUCUAUAACCCUUUGUGAACAUACCUAUAACUGUUGCUUCGGCGGGUAGGGUCUCCGCGACCCUCCCGGCCUCCCGCCCCCGGGCGGGUCGGCGCCCGCCGGAGGAUAACCAAACUCUGAUUUAACGACGUUUCUUCU